rfam:Oryza punctata chromosome 7, whole genome shotgun sequence.
AUCCCAUGAUGAGGACAUGCGGCGAUGUAUUCCUGCAAUCUUUCCCACGCUUCCGGGAUCGUCUCAUAUUUUAUCUGCUGGAAGCUGGAUAUUCUUCCACGAAGGGC